ACACCUGAUUACCUUCUAAAGGCCCCACCUACUAGUACCAUCAGACAGGGUGAGGACUUGAACAUAUGAUCUAGGGGUGUGGGACACGAACAAACAGUCUUUAACAAUAGACAAGGCAGACGUCUGCAAGUGUGAUUAUGGAUAAUAGCAAAAAUCAAAGGUACCUAGCAGGCACUAACACUCUGAAAUCACUAUAAUCGAAAUUCCAGGACUGAGAUCAUUUGAUGUUGAGCUACAUACAGUACUUGUGAGACCAGGUCAAUUUCUGAUUCAAUUGUUUCAAGCAUGCAGUCCUUUGGAAUCCCAACCUAAAAUACAGGAUUUACUGGAGCCUCUUCAGCCACUCUUCUGGCCCUCAGUAUCUCAAAAGUAUAUCAGCUAUAAUAUUGAAGUCAGGACAGUGGUUUACCUUUAAGAAAGAGGGAAGGAUACAGUUUUAUUUAUUGACCAGGGUGGUAGGUACGUAUGCUCACUUUGUUGAAAUAACACUGAGCUGUACACUAAUAAUUUGUAUGCUCUUUCUACAGGUGUGUUGUAAUGGUGUGCUAAAGCUAGCUUGUGGUGGUUUGUAAGAGUCAGCUAUUUGGUAGAAAUUUUGUGUGUUAACUGUCAAACUGUCCCUGGCUUAAAAUCAGCCAUGAAGAAAUCAUAUCAUUAAAUUUUACAAAAGUAACAAAUAAGGAAUUUUUCUUUUCCCAAAUACCAUGUAUGUUAUAUUUCUUUUUUCCAAGUUUUUUUUUGUUAUUUUUUAAUUUUUAAAAA